rnacentral:rRNA from 1 species
AUGGCUCAGAUUGAACGCUGGCGGCGUGCUUAACACAUGCAAGUCGCGCGUGAAAGGACUUCGGCCCGAGUAAAGCGGCGCACGGGUGAGUAACGCGUGGAUGAUCUACCCAUGAGUUAGGAAUAACGGCUGGAAACGGUCGCUAAUACCAAAUACGCUCCGAUUUCAACUUCGGGGGAAAGGUGGCCUCUGCUUGCAAGCUACUGCUCAUGGAUGAGUCCGCGUCCCAUUAGCUAGUUGGUGGGGUAACGGCCCACCAAGGCGACGAUGGGUAGCCGGUCUGAGAGGAUGACCGGCCACACUGGGACUGGAACACGGCCCAGACUCCUACGGGAGGCAGCAGUGGGGAAUAUUGCGCAAUGGGCGAAAGCCUGACGCAGCGACGCCGCGUGAGGGAUGAAGGUCCUCGGAUCGUAAACCUCUGUCAGGAGGGAAGAACCGCCACGGUGCUAAUCAGCCGUGGUCUGACGGUACCUCCAAAGGAAGCACCGGCUAACUCCGUGCCAGCAGCCGC